rnacentral:rRNA from 1 species
UAAGAAUUUAAAAGUCGAACAGACUUAUUGUUAAGAAUACUGCUUCUUAAAAUUUUCUUAAUUCAACAUCGAGGUCGCAAAAUAUAAUAUAGAUAUGAACUCCCCAUUAAAAUUACGCUGUUAUCCCUAAGGUAACUUAAUCUUACUAUCCCUCAAUUAAAAGGAUCUAAAAUUACAUAAAUAAAUGAAUGUUAAAACUAAAGUUAAUUAUUUAGCAACCACCCCAGCAAAAUAUAAGUAAAUACCAAAAAAUAUUGUUAGUAAAACUUAAUGUUACAGAAUUAUAUAAAGUUCUAUAGGGUCUUAUCGUCCCAAUAACUUAAUAAAGCAUUUUAACUUUAAAUUUAAAUUUUAACACUUAAAGAAAUAAAAUAUAUUUCUCAUACAUCCAUUCAUACAAGCUUUCAAUUAAAAAACUAAUUACUAUGCUACCUUUGCACAGUCAAAAUACUGCAGCCAUUUAGAAACUCACUAACCAUAGGGCAGAAGGUACUUUCCAUAAAACCG